rnacentral:rRNA from 1 species
CCUACGGGUGGCAGCAGUGAGGAAUAUUGGUCAAUGGGCGAGAGCCUGAACCAGCCAAGUCGCGUGAGGGAGUACUGCCCUAUGGGUUGUAAACCUCUUUUGUCGGGGAGCAAAAGCCGGACGUGUCCGGCUGUGAGAGUACCCGAAGAAAAAGCAUCGGCUAACUCCGUUCCAGCAGCCGCGGUAAUACGGAGGAUGCGAGCGUUAUCCGGAUUUAUUGGGUUUAAAGGGUGCGCAGGCGGAUUUUUAAGUCAGCGGUAAAAUCGUGGGGCUCAACCCCCUCCAGCCGUUGAAACUGGGGAUCUAGAGUGUGCGAGAGGUAUGCGGAAUGCGUGGUGUAGCGGUGAAAUGCAUAGAGAUCACGCAGAACCCCGAUUGCGAAGGCAGCAUACCGGUGCACAACUGACGCUCAGGCACGAAAGCGUGGGUAUCGAACAGGAUUAGAUACCCUGGUAGUC